UGGACGAACCUCUGGUGUUCCGGUUGUCACGCCAGUGGCAUUGCCGGGUAGCUAUGUUCGGAAAAGAUAACCGCUGAAAGCAUCUAAGCGGGAAACUUGCCUCAAGAUGAGAUCUCACUGGAACCUUGAGUUCCCUGAAGGGCCGUCGAAGACUACGACGUUGAUAGGUGGGGUGUGUAAGCGCUGUGAGGCGUUGAGCUAACCCAUACUAAUUGCCCGUGAGGCUUGACCAUAUAACACCCAAGCA
rnacentral:rRNA from 1 species